rnacentral:rRNA from 1 species
CCUACGGGUGGCUGCAGUGGGGAAUAUUGGACAAUGGGCGAAAGCCUGAUCCAGCCAUGCCGCGUGUGUGAAGAAGGCCUUCGGGUUGUAAAGCACUUUCAGUGGGGAAGAAAGCCUUGGGGCUAAUACCCUCGAGGAAGGACAUCACCCACAGAAGAAGCACCGGCUAACUCCGUGCCAGCAGCCGCGGUAAUACGGAGGGUGCGAGCGUUAAUCGGAAUUACUGGGCGUAAAGCGCGCGUAGGCGGGUCUGAUAAGCCGGUUGUGAAAGCCCCGGGCUCAACCUGGGAACGGCAUCCGGAAACUGUCGGGGUAGAGGGAAGGAGGGGAGGGAGAAAUCCCGGGGGAGGGGGUGAAUUGGGUAGAGACCGGGGGAAAUACCGGGGGGGAGGGCGGCCUUCUGAACUGACACUGCCGCGGAGGUGCAAACGCGUGGGUAGCAAAAGGGAUUAGAUACCCGGGUAGC